rnacentral:rRNA from 1 species
GACGAACGCUGGCGGCGUGCCUAAUACAUGCAAGUCGAACGCAGUGGGGACGGGUGAGUAACACGUGGGUAACCUCCCAUCAGAGGGGAUAACACUUGGAAACAGGUGCUAAACUGAUACUGAUGGAGGGACUCGCGGUGGAUGAGCUAGUUGGUGGGGUAACGGCUCACCAAGGCCACGAUGCAUAGCCGACCUGAGAGGGUGAUCGGCCACACUGGGACUGAGACACGGCCCAGACUCCUACGGGAGGCAGCAGUAGGGAAUCUUGGGCAAUGGACGAAAGCCUGACGGAGCAAGGCCGCGUGAGUGAAGAAGGUUUUCGGAUCGUAAAGCUCUGUUGUUAGGGAGGCGGUAUCUAACCAGAAAGCCACGGCUAACUACGUGCCAGCAGCCGCGGUAAUAC